GUGGGGAAUUUUGGACAAUGGGCGCAAGCCUGAUCCAGCAAUGCCGCGUGCAGGAAGAAGGCCUUCGGGUUGUAAACUGCUUUUGUACGGAACGAAACGGUCCUGGUUAAUACCCGGGGCUAAUGACGGUACCGUAAGAAUAAGCACCGGCUAACUACGUGCCAGCAGCCGCGGUAAUACGUAGGGUGCAAGCGUUAAUCGGAAUUACUGGGCGUAAAGCGUGCGCAGGCGGUGCUGUAAGACAGGCGUGAAAUCCCCGGGCUUAACCUGGGAAUUGCGCUUGUGACUGCAGUGCUGGAGUGCGGCAGAGGGGGAUGGAAUUCCGCGUGUAGCAGUGAAAUGCGUAGAUAUGCGGAGGAACACCGAUGGCGAAGGCAAUCCCCUGGGCCUGCACUGACGCUCAUGCACGAAAGCGUGGGGAGCAAACAGGAUUAGAUACCCCGGUAGUCC
rnacentral:rRNA from 1 species